AUUCUAUACUAUAGCAGCUGUUUCAGACAGUGACAGUGUUUAAUAGCUUGCAUUUGCAUCAUGAUAGAAAAUAGAACUAAUGUUUUCAUAUCAUUCAAGUAUGGGCACUAGGCAGAACAUUUCUCAUUCAUCUUUUAGGCUCUAUUUGGAUGAGGUAAGAGAAGAGUAAUUAAUGGAAGGUAAAAAAAAGUAAUGAGGGUUAUAAUUAAAAAAAAAAAAACAUGUUUAGGA
rnacentral:misc_RNA from 1 species